rnacentral:rRNA from 1 species
UACGAAGGGGGCUAGCGUUGCUCGGAAUUACUGGGCGUAAAGCGCACGUAGGUGGAUUGUUAAGUCGGGGGUGAAAUCCUGGAGCUCAACUCCAGAACUGCCUUCGAUACUGGCGAUCUCGAGUUCGGGAGAGGUGAGUGGAACUGCGAGUGUAGAGGUGAAAUGCGUAGAUAUUCGCAAGAACACCAGAGGCGAAGGCGGCUCACUGGCCCGAUACUGACGCUGAGGUGCGAAAGCGUGGGGAGCAAACAGG